GGAGGCUUCGCCUAGUCUGGUCUAUGGCGCCGCACUGCUAAUGCGGUUUCGGGUUUAUCCCCGAUCCCGGGUUCAAAUCCCGGAGCCUCCG
rnacentral:tRNA from 1 species